GUUCACUAUGUCAGUCCCUGCAGAGACGAAGAGGAAGAUACAGACAUAAUGACCAGAAACCUCAGCAGGAUAUGUCUGCUGUUGCUCUGCUUCUGCUAUUUUUUACUGAGCAAGAAUGUGCACCAGGAGCCACCAUCAAUAUUAGAAGUUUCCGGCAAUCCUGCUACUAUUAACUGCAGCCAUUCAAUCAGUGGCUACUAUGUGAUUUUGUGGUACCAAAAGCUGAUUGGUGACUCCAUUUUGAAAUUAAUUGGUUAUAUCUCCAACCAAAGCCCAAAGCUGGAGGAUGAAUUCAAAGAUCAUUUCAUUUUGAGAGGAGACGGCUCAAAGGAAUCUGGCCUUCAUAUAGAAAAACUCCAACCAGAAGACAGCAGCAUGUAUUACUGUGCAGCUAGUACACAGUGACACAGUUGGUGUUUAACCUCUACAAAAACCCUCUCUGAUGAUCCUGAACAUGAACACAGACUGAGGAGGAGCACAGCUGCAUCAAAGGACAUUAAACUACAUCAGCAAAUCAUCAGACAUUAGAAAAGAAACCUCCUCUUCCUCUGUUACUUAACCUGAAGAAGGCUGAGUGAUGACUAUGACAACAUAGAAUGGCAUCCCCUCCUCCCCUUUUGCAUGUGAACAUCUUUAUGCAGUCUGACAUUAUUUUUGCAGCUUGGUAGCGAUGUGGACUUGGAUCAUGUUCAAACUCUUAAUUCCUUUUUUGGUCCUGCACUUCGGUUCUUCAGAAGAGCCAUCAAUAAACAGCGUUCAUCAGAAUCUUGCAAAUGUGAUUAAAGGACCAGGAGAAUCUGUUGAUUUAAACUGCAAACAUUCAAACACCAACUUCGAUAUGAUCCAGUGGUACAAACAACCUCCUGGGAAAACUGAUAUGACUCUACUGGGAUACACACAAUAUACUUCUAAUGUUGUUGAGGAUCAAUUUCAAAGCUUGUAUAAUGUGACUGGUAGUGGCCAGAGUCAUUCUUCUUUUGUUAUUCUGAAGCUGAGGCAGCCUGAGGACAGCGCAGUCUAUUUCUGUGCUGCCAGUGAAGCACAGUGCUGCUUGAAGCCUCCAGCUCCAACAAAAACCUUCUCUGUUAGAAAAUAAACCACCAUUUAGCUGCUGAUAACCUCAUGAGCUUCAAGAGAACCACAGCAGAGGGACUGAUCACACAGCUGUAGAAUACUAUUGUCCACUAGGA